ACAUGCAGUUGAGCGAUGCGGUUUGGUGCUUGCACCAUAAACCAAAGAGCAGCGAACGGGUCAGUUACGCGUGGGAAAUCUGCCUUUGAGCGGGGGACAACAUUUGGAAACGAAUGCUAAUACCGCAUAACAGCUAGGGACACAUGUUCUAAGCUUGAAAGAAACAAUUGUUUCACUCAAAGAUGAUCCCGCGUUGUAUUAGCUAGUUGGUGAGGUAAAGGCUCACCAAGGCGAUGAUACAUAGCCGACCUGAGAGGGUGAUCGGCCACAUUGGGACUGAGACACGGCCCAAACUCCUACGGGAGGCAGCAGUAGGGAAUCUUCGGCAAUGGACGAAAGUCUGACCGAGCAACGCCGCGUGAGUGAAGAAGGUUUUCGGAUCGUAAAACUCUGUUGUGAGAGAAGAACGACGAGGAGAGUGGAAAGCUCCUCGUGUGACGGUAUCUCACCAGAAAGGGACGGCUAACUACGUGCCAGCAGCCGCGGUAAUACGUAGGUCCCGAGCGUUGUCCGGAUUUAUUGGGCGUAAAGCGAGCGCAGGUGGUUUAUUAAGUCUGGUGUAAAAGGCAGUGGCUCAACCAUUGCAUAUGCAUUGGGAACUGGUAGACUUGAGUGCAGGAGAGGAGAGUGGAAUUCCAUGUGUAGCGGUGAAAUGCGUAGAUAUAUGGAAGAAACACGGUGGCGAAAGCGGCUCUCUGGGCUGGAACUGACACUGAAGCUCGAAAGCGUGGGGAGCAAACCGGAAUAGAUACCCUGGUAGUCCACGCCGUUAAACGAUGAAUGCUAGAUGUAAGGAGCUAUAAUUUCUCUGUAUCGCAGCUAAACCCAUAAACCACUCC
rnacentral:rRNA from 1 species